rnacentral:rRNA from 1 species
UACAGAGGUCCCGAGCGUUGUUCGGAUUCAUUGGGCGUAAAGGGUGCGUAGGCGGCGGGGUAAGUCUGAUGUGAAAUCCUGGGGCUCAACCCCAGAACUGCAUUGGAUACUGCCUUGCUAGAGUACUGGAGAGGAAACUGGAAUUUACGGUGUAGCAGUGAAAUGCGUAGAGAUCGUAAGGAAGACCAGUGGCGAAGGCGGGUCUCUGGACAGUUCCUGACGCUGAGGCACGAAGGCCAGGGGAGCAAACGGG